rnacentral:rRNA from 1 species
UACGUAGGGUGCAAGCGUUGUCCGGAAUUAUUGGGCGUAAAGAGCUCGUAGGCGGUCUGUCGCGUCGGCUGUGAAAACCCGGAGCUCAACUCCGGGCCUGCAGUCGAUACGGGCAGACUGGAGUUCGGCAGGGGAGAACGGAAUUCCCGGUGUAGCGGUGAAAUGCGCAGAUAUCGGGAGGAACACCGGUGGCGAAGGCGGUUCUCUGGGCCUGUACUGACGCUGAGGAGCGAAAGCGUGGGGAGCGAACAGG